rnacentral:rRNA from 1 species
AGGACGAACGCUGGCGGCGUGCUUAACACAUGCAAGUCGAGCGGAAAGGCCCUUCGGGGUACUCGAGCGGCGAACGGGUGAGUAACACGUGAGCAAUCUGCCCCUAGCUCUGGGAUAGCUCCGGGGAAACCGGGAUUAAUACCAGAUACAACCACUUUAGACAUCUUUUGUGGUGGAAAGGAUUCCGGCUAGGGAUGAGCUCGCGGCCUAUCAGCUUGUUGUUGGGGUAACGCCCACAAGGCGACGACGGGUA